CUGGCUCAGGAUGAACGCUGGCGGCGUGCCUAAUACAUGCAAGUCGAACGAGAGUGCUUGCACUCGAGUGGCGAACGGGUGAGUAACACGUAGGUAACCUGCCUCACAGUUUGGGAUACCCAGAGGAAACUUUGGCUAAUACCGGAUAAUUGGUUGGAAGGCAUCUUCCGACUCUAAAAGGGGCCUUUAAAGCCUCGCUGAGAGAUGGACCUGCGGCGCAUUAGCUAGUUGGUGAGAUAACAGCCCACCAAGGCGAGGAUGCGUAGCCGACCUGAGAGGGUGAACGGCCACACUGGAACUGAGACACGGUCCAGACUCCUACGGGAGGCAGCAGUAGGGAGUUUUCGGCAAUGGGGGAAACCCUGACCGAGCAACGCCGCGUGAGUGAUGAAGGUUCCUUCGGAUUGUAAAGCUCUGUUGUAGGGGAAGAACGAUAUGAUGAGGAAAUGCUUCAUAUUUGACGGUACCUUAUUAGAAAGCCACGGCUAACUACGUGCCAGCAGCAGC
rnacentral:rRNA from 1 species